UUAAAUUGAAGAGUUUGAUCGUGGCUCAGAUUGAACGCUGGCGGCAGGCCUAACACAUGCAAGUCGAACGGUAACAGGAAGCAGCUUGCUGCUU
rnacentral:rRNA from 1 species